UACGGGGGGGGCAAGCGUUGUUCGGAAUUACUGGGCGUAAAGGGCUCGUAGGUGGCCAACUAAGUCAUACGUGAAAUCCCUCGGCUUAACCGGGGAACUGCGUCUGAUACUGGAUGGCUUGAGGUUGGGAGAGGGAUGCGGAAUUCCAGGUGUAGCGGUGAAAUGCGUAGAUAUCUGGAGGAACACCGGUGGCGAAGGCGGCAUCCUGGACCAAUUCUGACACUGAGGAGCGAAGGCCAGGGGAGCAAACGGG
rnacentral:rRNA from 1 species